rnacentral:rRNA from 1 species
GUGGGGAAUAUUGGGCAAUGGGCGAAAGCCUGACCCAGCAACGCCGCGUGAAGGAAGAAGGUCUUCGGAUCGUAAACUUCUAUCCUUGGUGAAGAUAAUGACGGUAGCCGAGAAGGAAGCCCCGGCUAACUACGUGCCAGCAGCCGCGGUAAUACGUAGGGGGCAAGCGUUGUCCGGAAUGAUUGGGCGUAAAGGGCGCGUAGGCGGCCUGGUAAGUCUGGAGUGAAAGUCCUGCUUUUAAGGUGGGAAUUGCUUUGGAUACUGUCGGGCUUGAGUGCAGGAGAGGUAAGUGGAAUUCCCGGUGUAGCGGUGAAAUGCGUAGAGAUCGGGAGGAACACCAGUGGCGAAGGCGACUUACUAGACUGUAACUGACGCUGAGGCGCGAAAGUGUGGGGAGCAAACAGGAUUAGAUACCCCUGUAGUCC